GUUGAACGCUGGCGGCAGGCCUAACACAUGCAAGUCGAGCGGAUGAAGGGAGCUUGCUCCUGGAUUCAGCGGCGGACGGGUGAGUAAUGCCUAGGAAUCUGCCUGGUAGUGGGGGAUAACGUCCGGAAACGGGCGCUAAUACCGCAUACGUCCUGAGGGAGAAAGUGGGGGAUCUUCGGACCUCACGCUAUCAGAUGAGCCUAGGUCGGAUUAGCUAGUUGGUGGGGUAAAGGCCUACCAAGGCGACGAUCCGUAACUGGUCUGAGAGGAUGAUCAGUCACACUGGAACUGAGACACGGUCCAGACUCCUACGGGAGGCAGCAGUGGGGAAUAUUGGUCAAUGGGCGAAAGCCUGAUCCAGCCAUGCCGCGUGUGUGAAGAAGGUCUUCGGAUUGUAAAGCACUUUAAGUUGGGAGGAAGGGCAGUAAGUUAAUACCUUGCUGUUUUGACGUUACCAACAGAAUAAGCACCGGCUAACUUCGUG
rnacentral:rRNA from 1 species